UACAGAGGUGGCAAGCGUUGUUCGGAAUUACUGGGCGUAAAGGGCGCGUAGGCGGCCUUCUAAGUCGGACGUGAAAUCCCCAGGCUUAACUUGGGAACUGCGUCCGAUACUGGAAGGCUCGAGUGCGGGAGAGUGAUGUGGAAUUCCAGGUGUAGCGGUGAAAUGUGUAGAGAUCGGGAGGAACACCGGUGGCGAAGGCGGUCUUCUGGACGGUGACUGACGCUGAGGCGCGAAAGCGUGGGGAGCAAACGGG
rnacentral:rRNA from 1 species